rnacentral:sRNA from 1 species
GCCAGGUGAAGUGGUGCAUACCUGUAAUCCCAGCAACUCAGGAGGCUGAGACAGGAGGAUCAUGAGUUCAAAGCUAGUCUUAGCAAAAACAAGGCACUAAGAACUCAGUGAGACCCUGUCUUUA